UACGGAGGGAGCUAGCGUUGUUCGGAAUUACUGGGCGUAAAGCGCACGUAGGCGGCUUUGUAAGUUAGAGGUGAAAGCCCGGGGCUCAACCCCGGAAUUGCCUUUAAGACUGCAUCGCUUGAAUCCGGGAGAGGUGAGUGGAAUUCCGAGUGUAGAGGUGAAAUUCGUAGAUAUCGGGAGGAACACCAGUGGCGAAGGCGGCGAUCUGGGAAGAUACUGACGCUGAGGUGCGAAAGCGUGGGGAGCAAACAGG
rnacentral:rRNA from 1 species